rnacentral:rRNA from 1 species
CCUACGGGGGACUGCAGUGAGGAAUAUUGGUCAAUGGGCGCGAGCCUGAACCAGCCAAGUCGCGUGAGGGAAGACGGUCCUAUGGAUUGUAAACCUCUUUUGUCGGGGAGCAAAAGACGCCACGCGUGGCGUUCCGAGAGUACCCGAAGAAAAAGCAUCGGCUAACUCCGUGCCAGCAGCCGCGGUAAUACGGAGGAUGCGAGCGUUAUCCGGAUUUAUUGGGUUUAAGGGGUGCGUAGGCGGAUUUUUAAGUCAGCGGUAAAAUGUCCGGGCUCAACCCGGGCCGGCCGUUGAAACUGGGGAUCUUGAGUGCGCGAGAGGCAUGCGGAAUGCGUGGUGUAGCGGUGAAAUGCAUAGAUAUCGCGCAGAACCCCGAUUGCGAAGGUAGCGUACCGGCUCCACACUGACGCUGAGGCACGAAAGCGUGGGUAUCGAACAGGAUUAGAUACCCGGGUAGUC